rnacentral:rRNA from 1 species
UACGGGGGGGGCAAGCGUUGUUCGGAAUUACUGGGCGUAAAGGGUGCGUAGGUGGCCAGGUAAGUUCGGUGUGAAAGCUCGGAGCUCAACUCCGAAAUGUCAUUGAAUACUAUCUGGCUGGAGGGUCGGAGGGGAGACUGGAAUUCUCGGUGUAGCAGUGAAAUGCGUAGAUAUCGAGAGGAACACCAGUGGCGAAGGCGAGUCUCUGGACGACUCCUGACACUGAGGCACGAAAGCUAGGGGAGCAAACAGG